rnacentral:rRNA from 1 species
AUUGAACGCUGGCGGCAUGCCUUACACAUGCAAGUCGAACGGUAACGGGCCUUCGGGUGCCGACGAGUGGCGAACGGGUGAGUAAUACAUCGGAACGUGCCCGACCGUGGGGGAUAACGAGGCGAAAGCUUUGCUAAUACCGCAUCCGAUCUACGGAUGAAAGCAGGGGACCGCAAGGCCUUGCGCGGACGGAGCGGCCGAUGGCAGAUUAGGUAGUUGGUGGGAUAAAAGCUUACCAAGCCGACGAGCUGUAGCUGGUCUGAGAGGAUGAUCAGCCACACUGGGACUGAGACACGGCCCAGACUCCUGCGGGAGGCAGCAGUGGGGAAUUUUGGACAAUGGGCGCGAGCCUGAUCCAGCCAGGCCGCGUGCAGGAUGAAGGCCUUGGGGUUGUAAAGUGCUUUUGUACGGAACGAAAAGCCUUCUUUUAAUACGGGAGGGUCAUGACGGUACCGUAAGAAUAAGCACCGGCUAACUACGUG